CGUUUGGGGGUCAAAGAAGUGGAUGAUGGAUGGUGGCAUGUUAUCCUCUUUUCCUGCAGCAAACAGCAGCAGUGAUGGCUGUCGCUCUCUGCAGCUUUUCAGGCUGCUUAAGUGUGUGAGUGUGUGUCUGUGCACGGACACUAUAUCUUGUGGGUUCGAGGAGGAGUGUAUCUCCGGGCUGCUGAUCUAGUUAGCAGCAUUAGCAUUGCAAAUCAAACACCAGGCUGAAUGUCUGGAGGUGAUUCCAAAAAAACAGUUGCAAAUCAGGUCUGAAACUGCAGAUCUUGUUUUUGAUUUAAUUCACAAUUUCCUUCAUGGAUGCAUGUAUAAACUACAAGUCUACAAAUGGACUUUUGACCAGGCUGAUUAUGCAAAUGAAGGUAUCAAAUAAAGAUCGAGUAAAUGAUUAAAAUCUGGUUUUUAGUCGGGUCUGAGGCAUUUUCGUUUUUGCCUUUCUUACUGUGAUAACUUCAUUUCUUUUUGAGAACAGUUCGCUCGAAUAUUCAUCCUUUGUCUUCCCCGUGGAUCGUUAAAAACAUGGGUGUGGACUCAAACUAGGGUGACCAUAUUUUGAUGACUGAAAACCAGGACAAAAAUCAGGACUUUGCCCAGCCCCUUUAGUUUUCUUCUUCAUCCUAGAGGCCGAAUGAAAAACAAAGAACAAUAAGUUAUUUUCAUCACUUUAUAAACACAGGACAUGUCCCGGAAAAACAGGAUGUUUGGUUACCCUAACUUCAACGCAAAGGGGUGGAACUACAUAUAUGAUCUGCCAAUCAUAUGCAGAGGCUGUUAAAGGGAUAUUCCGGUGUAAAAUUAAUUUAGGGUCAAACACAUCGUAACACCAAGUUAGACACCCCCUCAAGAGAUGAAUGUUGCCGACCGCUUGCCUCUCUAGUUAUACCAACUUUAGUAACAACCGCAUGAUAGCAAUACACAGCAGUCUGAGGAGCCAUAAACAAACCUCAACCAAAACGCCACUCUAUAGCCACAAAUAAUGUUCAGAACAGCACCUAACUUCAUCAACAGGACAUAUAGAGUCCCAGCCAUAGUACUAGCCACCAAACAUCUUUUUAACUUUACCUGAUUUUUAUAGUAAAGAGACUAAACACAACUCACCUACUCUCUUCCAGCAGCCGUUUGUUUGUAGCGAGACCUCGGACCAGUCCACUAUGGACUACAGCGGGGUGUCGCAGCUCAAGGAAGAACAUUUAUGAUCAUUGCUUCAUGGAAAUUCAAUCAGACCGAGACGCUACGGCAGAAGAACGACAGCGUCUGCAGUGCAAAAUGAUUAAUAUGGUGAUUAUUACUUCAAGGAAAUGAUAAAGUAAUUAUCAUAAAUGUUCUUCCUUGAGCUGCGUCACCCCGCUGUAGUCCAUUUGUUGCUAUAGAGUGGUGUUUUGGUUGAGGUUUGUUUGUGGCUCCUCAGACUGCUGUGUAUUGCUAUCUGCAGUUGUUACUUAAGUUGGUAAAACUAGAGAAGCAAGCGGUCGGCAACAUUUGUCUCUCAAGGGGGUGUCUAACUCGGUGUUAUGGUGUGUUUGACCCUCAUUUACUUUUACGCUGGAAUAUCCCUUGAACAGACUGGAGAACAAAAGAAUUGUUUGUAUAUGAGGAUCAGGGGGCAAGUAAAGACUUGGACUGAAGGUCCUGAAAUGUCACAAAGGUGCCAGAUGCAGCUGGAUGCCAUUGGAGAGGACGUUAACACUCGCUAAAUUUACUCUGCAUGUAAACCUCAAUAGUGUAAGCUGCAUUUAGAUGCUGUUAUCAGUCAGGUGUGUAGGUCAGGGACGCUGCAUCCUCCAAUUUUCAAUGCUGGCAUGGUCUGUUAUUUGUGCAUAAAUCAAAUCCAGCUGACUCCUCUUUAGAUGAUACAUCCUUGACUCUUGGAAACAUCACACCGAGCAUGCUGAACAGUCAGAUCCUCUCGUGUAGAUGCUGCUUUAACCAUAGAAUUGACCUCCCUGAAAAAUCUAUCCACAUUAUUAUUUACACCAUGGUCGAGUCGGUACGUCUGUAAUUACUGCGUCACCAGAAUGUUAAAUUUGACACUUUCAGGAUCCCACAGCCAGUCGUCUUUGUAUCUGUAGAGUCAUGUCUUCACAUUUCCAUUCAUGCCUGCCUGGAUGUGAGAAUUAUAUUUCAGAGUGUGUGUGUUAGUGUGUGUGUGGGGAGUCGGUGCGACAGGGCAGACAGCUCCUAUUGCUCUUUUGGAUGAGAGCAGGGCGUCUGCCAGCAUGUCGACAGGCUCACUGGGAGAAAUACUGGAUACAAUCACAGCGUCCGGGUGCGUCGGUUCAGCCUCGGCGUCGUGUGUCUCUGGCUCUGUCUGUCUAAGUGCCUGGAGUCAUGGCAGGGAGCUGGGGCCGCGGCUAAAUCUCUGCGUUUUUGGUUCUUUCCUUCUGAUGGCCAGAUGGAGUUUGGUCUCGAAGGGAAAGAUGAUGUCUGCAUAAUGUCCACGUAGAUUCUCAUUCAUCCAGGUCAUGGUUAUCUUGAAGACUCCAAAGACAGACAACUGGACUGUGUAGAGUUCAGCUCAACUCUAUGUCUGAUUAUGAUCAGAAUAGCUGUCUAACAUUUCUAUAGUGUUCACUCUAGGGCUGGGCGAUAAACCGAAAAUUUACCAAUACCGAAAUUUACGACAAUAACCAACGUCAUUUUGCCCAUGUCGGUAUAAUUGAUGUAGGGUUGCAAAGGGGCGGGAAAUUUUCGGUAAAUUUCCAGAAACAUUUCUUGGGAAGUUAAACUGGGGAAAUUUUGGAAAUAAUCCAAAUUGGAAACUUUUCAUUGGAAUUAUUGGGAAUUUAUGGGGAUUAACUGAAAUUGAGGGUAAUUUAAACAAACUGUAUCAAAUUAAAACAUAAAUGUAAAUAUUUUUCCUUCAACAUUAGUUUGUGUGAAAUGCUUUCAUUGGCAAAUGUGGCAUUUUUCUGUAGAAUAAAAUAACUAAAAAGCUUGUAAAUCUGAUUGUUUUAGCCAAGAUUAUACUACAAUAUAUUUUCCCCAACUUCUUUUAAGUUCCCUGAUGAGAGUCAAUGUCAAUUUUGUAAAUUUCAGAUUUAUUCUUGUUAAUUCCCAUGGAAACUUUACAACUUUGAAAAUUCCUGCAAUUUUGCAACCCUAAUUCAGUGUCCGAAAAAAUAAAAUAAAUAAAAGUUUGUUUUGGAUGUGUGUAGGUAGGCUUUGGUCUCACAUCCCUUUAAGACGUGACUCCACCUCAUCCAGUCCGUAACAAAGAGGGAAAGACGGGUGAGGAGAUGGAGGACGGUUCAAAAGUUAUAGCGGCUGAAGUCGACGAAGUUAGUUAUUGUCCAUUUAUCGUUAUCAAGGUGAACGGCUUAAUAUAUCGUGAUAUUGAUUUGAGGCCAAAUCGCCCAGCCCUAGUUCACUCUCUCAUUAUAAUAAUAGAAAGGGUGAGGGGAGGUAGAGCGUACAGUCUAUCUUAGCGGGGGUGUGAUGUAGCCCACACUUUAAAUAUUGAUGUUGAAUUUUAAAAAGUCUGCGCUUUAUCAUCUUUAUUGAUACACUUCUAAACCGAUCAAUUCUGUAUCAGAUUGUUGACCUACAGCGCUGAUCCCUACGAAGUCGAAUAAGCAGUUUGUCCUUUUGUUUUCGUGUCAUAAAUAGUGUGAAUGUGUGUGUUUGUUCCUGCCUGAAUCGCCCGGCAGUGACGCUGCUGUUUGCACAGACAGAGAUGGAUAGUCAUGCAGCAGAGUAGGGUCAAGGAUUCAGCUGUCUCAGCUCCAGUCUGUGCACCUGCUACACAAACAUACCAGAGCUGAAGGACAGUCCUAUGAGUCCUAUGAAUGCUCUUAUGGAGUGAAAAUUUACUUUAUUAAUAGAUGAUCAUUAUCUAGGUCAUUUAUAUCUGUGUUUCUGACUUCAUUGAAGACCUAGAAAUGAUGAAAUAGAUUCAGAGAGGACAUUAGAGGAACAGAAGUGGAUGUUGUUUGGACAGAGGCACAUAUCUGACCCAACAGAUGUUGGCUGUCGAUCAGCUCUGCCAGUCUUGAAUCGGUCAAUUCGACUCAGCUGUGUUUAUUGAUUUGUGUCAAGCUGUACAUUUAGAGGAGCUGACCAGUUUAUCUUCAUUGCUGCCUGAGGACUGAGGACCCGUGACACUUAGAGCGGCCGCGUUAAAUUCCUUCAUUUAAUGAAAAUAAAAGUCAUGAUGAGAAGCAGCGAUUCCAAUAUUUCCAUAAAUCAGCAUUUUUACAUCCGUGUUAGCAAUUUUAUUCAAGGUCUGAACUCUAACAGUCUACUUAAUGAUCCGUCUAACAGAGCCAGGGUUCUUUUGUUUUUGCAUUAGAAGCAUAAUUGGCAGCAAAGUAAAAGACUCAUGAUUAACACACCAAGAUGCAUGAAGUCGUGAUUAAAAAUCAGGCUCAUUCCUCUAUAAAUUUACAAAAGACAAUAACCGCCACAAGAAGAGACAAAAUAAUUACAGGAGGAAGAUUUUUUAAAUUUCCAUUUUAGCAUUAAAGUCAAAAUUUUUAAAAGUCGAAAUGAAAGAAAUCAAAAUUUCAUCAUUAAAGUCGAAUUUUAACAUUGAAGUUAAGUUUUCAUGAUGAUCAAAAUUGAAACUAUGUAAAUAAAGCCAAACUGUCAAUUUCAAUCUGAGAAUUUUUUUUUUAUCUCAAACGUCGACAUUAUUUACGACAUUUUGACGAAAUGUAAAAAUCGAAAUUUUAACAUUAAAGUCGAAUUUCGAGAUUAAAGUCGAGAUUUUGGGAUUUAAAAAAAUUGAAAUUAUGUGAAUGAAGUCGAAAUGUUGACUUAAAUCGUAAUUUUUUUACCUCAAAAUGUCGACAUUAUCCGCUAUAUUUUGACGAAAUUUUUAAACGUUGAAGUAAAAAAAUGGAAAUUAUGUUAAUUAAGUUGGAAUGUCGACUUUCAUCUCAAAAUCAUAAUUUUUUAAUCUCCAAAUGUCGACAUUGUUCAUGACAUUUUGAUAUUUUGUAAUCUUAAGAUUUCGACUUUAAUCUCCUCCUUGUAACUAAAUAUUUCUCUUAACGUGGCCCUAAUCCUCUUCUGUAAUAAAUUAAAUCAUCUGUAUUCUGUGUUUAAGUAUGAUUUUCUUUUUAAUUAGUUACAGUCUGAAUAAAUUAAAACUAUUGAUUACAGCUCAUUAUAACUCAUUAUAUUUCCCUCACUCUCUAAAUGCAAAGCUCCAAUCAGCUACAACCACAAGCAGAGUUAUUAGCAUCUCGCUCCUCAUCCUGCUGUUGAUUCAGUCCGAGGCGUGCUCCAUUUAACUCGUUUGGGAACAUUUUGUUUUUCUAAAACUCUUCGUUAUGGUAGGAAACCCCGAGUUUUCGUGGCCGUAACGUUGGACGUACUGCUUUAAAUUUACAGUCAACAAACAGGAGGGUGAGGUCACGGUGGCCACGUCCAUGGUAAUGAUCUACAAAAGACGAUGAUCCUCAUGGGUUUGUGGGUUUAUGGAUGAUUGCGGACUUAUAAAAGAGACCUAAAGGACCUUUAAAGAUAUCAAACACACCAACCCCAUUAUUAAGAGACUGAGGAAGCAGAGCCAAGAGAUUCCCGGGCAUUUUCCAUCCAAUCCCUUCAGAUUAUCUCCCUGAGGGUUUGGCGAACUCUGUGCCUGUAGGUGCCCUGAUCCCUUUUGCUGUAACAAAACUGAGGUCUUUUGAUUUUUUUUUCAGUUAACUUUUGCUUCAGAAAGCAAUCCAACCAUAGAAAUAAUGCGCCUCUCAGAGGAUUUAAUAUUGAACUGUCACGCAAGAUCAGCUUCCCAAAUACCAGCCGAUCCCCCCUUCCCCUGCCAAUAAACAAAAGCAGAAAAUGAUGAAUCUGUUCAGGCCCCGAGGCUGGUUUCCAAGAUUUUUGGCUGCAAUUUAUAUUUAAAAAUUCAGGGAAGUGAUCUGAAUAAAAAUCAUGAAAAAAAAAAAACAAUAAUAAAAGUCAGCGAGUCAAAGAGAUAUUUGAAGCAUCAGCUGCACCUUUUUAUCUUCACGUUCUCUUUUCUUCUCGGUUAUUCUUCAUGUUUCUUCUGAUUUUAUUGAACUGUUAAUAUAAAUCAAUUAUCAAAAUUGAAAUUGAUUACUCUACAUCUCUUACAGGAAGUCUGCAUUUCCUGUAACUCAAACUUGAUAGAUCGCACGGGUCAAAGGUACCGGAAACCAUCGAUUUCUGCACAAUGGCUGUAAACAGAAGUCCUCUCACUCUCUCGUCCUACUCUGCACAUCUCUACACACCCACACACAUUUAUUGCUUCAUCAAUAGCAUAAAGGCUUAGUUAAGUUCUUUUAUUGUCAUAUAUAUCUCCUCACACUCACACACACACAUAUAUGCAGAUCCAGAAACAGCUGAAUCAGCGUAUGAGCCGGGCUGCUUACAAAGCUAAAAUGCAUUUUGCUGCCGAGGUGUGUGUUGGUUUUAUAGCCGGGGUGUGUCCCUCAGGAGUCUCGGUCUGUUGCAUCCGGUGUUUUUCUAUAUGUGUGUGUUCAUUGGAGCACAUAUAUUUAGGAAUAUCUGUAAAAAGUUGGAAACUUGAGUCUGCAGUCGUCCUCUGACCUUGCGCUGCGUUAGAAAAGUACUUUGUAAGGACCACAUUUGUUUUCAUGAAAGAAUUUGAAUGUUGCAGUUUUGGUGCCAUGUUUACCAUAAAUAUAGUAAAAAUGAGAAUAAACUGUAGUUUCCUAAUUGUUCGGCCAUUUGUCUAAGUUAAAAAAACAACCCCAUGUAGCCUCUUACAUACUCACCUGUCAAAUUCUUGAAGCGGCCAAUUGAAAAAUCACCGUAAGAAUUUCUCUGGCUGUUAGAUUUUUCAGGUGUUUGUUAACAUUCACCAUCUUCAUACUUUAGUUCUCUGACUGUCUCCAAACACCAAGCGUGAGUAAAAUCAUUCGCGCGAGUGAAUUACAUGUUAAGUCAAUGUAAAGACGCGAUUAGACGCUCCCACUUCGUUGGCAGCGCGAGUGAUGCGAAUUGGGCGGAAGCUGAAAAUGUCUCAACUUAAGCGGAUAUUCCUGUUCCAAUAACUAAUCAGCACAAAGGUUGUGGGGUGACCUAUGAAAACAGACAGUUGUUCCCUGGUAUCUAAAAUGGAGGACAGACUGAUCGUGUCAGUGUGUGGGUGCAACGAAUUAUAUGACACUGUUUCUUUCAGUCACCAAAACCGAAAUAAAAAGGAGCUCGCCUGGAGGCAAGUGAGUGAGGAGGUCGGAUUACCUGGUAAAUCAUAAAAAACCUUUGUCUAUCAUUUGAUCCCGCUGGUUUAACUGUCAGGGAUUACUGUUAAAAUUAAAAUUGAAGCGAGUAAAUACUGUUCAUUCACGUGUCUAGAUUCUGCCUUGGUUGUUUUGUAACUUUAUCUGUUUGGUUCUGGACUAUCACUGUGUCGCUUCAUCUUUCAUCCCCCUGAAUCUGUGGUUAUGAGUGACGUGAUGAGAGGAACUUUUGCUCUACAGAUGUGUUUGUGUUUUCAAUUGUUAGUUGUGAUUGUCUACUUUGGCUUCGAGGUUUAAGUGCAGCUCUGUAUCUAUAGUAGGGCUGUAAAGUCCUGGUCGACUUAUUCGUCGAUACGUGCUGAGUCGACCAAAAUUCUGAUUGGUCGACUCGAUUUUUUUUCCGUGUCAAUUUACAGUCUAUGCUUAAUAUCCUCAGGAGGAACGUACCAAGUGCUAAUGAGGGUGUUUUCAGAGCACCUUUGUUUCACAGGUAACAUCCUGUCUCAGAACACCCCCCUUGUUUCCACCCUUUUGGAUUCGCCCAACCCACUGGAGACCAGCUGGAAGAUAGAAGAGGGUUUUGUGUUGAUAUCGGUAUGUUUUCACCCCACUGAGCUGCGUCGUCCCCCGCUGUCGGAGUCAGAACCCCCCGAUUAGUCGACUUUUGGUUGAAAAUUUGAGGGUUUUAGUCGAUCAAGAACUUCUUUGGUUGAUUACGGCCCUGAUCUAGAGGUCCAUAUCAGGCAGUGAGGGUUAAAUGUUUCUGCAUAUGGAGUUGGAGUUGUUUCUCUAUAUGCUCAAAUCAAUCAUAGUUUUCAUGCAUUGAAGUGUGAUUUAUAUGUCGGAGUCUAAUCUAUGUGGUAGUUUAUGCCAUAGGUUUGUGAAUUUCAUGCAGAAACCAACACGAGUCAAAAUAAUGCUGACUCCAAUCGCUCUGAUUGGUCCAGUGCGUCUCAUUGUACUCGCACCCUUUCCCGUAUCUGCUAUCCACACAGAUUCAGCAUCCAUUAUUUCCUUAUUUUCUUUUCAGUAAUUGCAGCACUAUCAACUCCACCAAUCAUUUAUCAGCUCUAACUCCAAAUUAAUACACGCUAAUCAGUCGCCAUGGUUCCCUGAGCACAAACAAGCAGACUGGGGAAUGGCGAUAUGACGAACAGUGCAAACUCGAGUUUAGGUGGUGUACAACAUCACGCUGACAGACGAGUAUGUAGUGCUCAUGACAGCAAAAGGGUUUUCCUGAGCUUAGCGCUGGUACUUUGCAUAUCUUUCUUGUGUCAAUCAUGACUGUGCAGAAGUUUUAUAAACUCAGCUGCCGCGGAAGUGGAAGCUCAUACACAAACAGCAUGCUGUUACCGAGCAGAUUAGUCGAGGCCGCUGAGCGCUCAUGAUCAAUAUUUGAGGAGCAGCAUGGCCUGGUGGUCACAGAGCAGGUCCUGGACUAGCCUGAUCUCUACUGCAGCAAGGGAGGUGUUGCAGAAGUCUGUUUGUGUUUGCAUUUGCAGAAGACAAAAUAGGUGUCAUAACAAAACAAGACAAAGUUGUGUGUAGCAUUGCGUCAUCACAACACUGAGCUAGUUUUUGCUUGUGACAGCUGUGCAAGGACAACUCUAACAGGCUCUUUUUGUGUUUACCUUUGUUUAUACAAUCACUUAAUGAGUUUAGAUGAUUUUCCCUGAACCUGUUGGAUCUUUCUUGGCGGCGGCGCCCUGAACUGAGCUGAACUGAGUGACGGUUUGUUUUCACAUUCCAAUAAUUCAGCCUCAUCGGGUAUAAAGCCUGUUAUUAGCCCUUCAUUGUCCUCUGCAGAGUAAAAUGGUUUGAACUUUCCAACCUCUCUCAGUUGGAGGAAGGCUGCUGCACUUUUGUAGAAAAUUCAAGGUUCAGAUUCAGAUGGAGGACGCUCCCACUGAGGGGUUUGGAACUCAAUUUUCUGGUGACCCCCUCCAUGUACAAAUUAACAGAGGAAAGGUUGUUUUAAAAAACCAAUCAACAACUGAUUCGAAAUAACCUCCCAGUUUGCUCCUGUUUGGCUGGUUUUCAGAGCGAAGGUUUGCCUGUGUUUAAGGAGCAGAUGUGAGAGCAGAGACAGACUCGACGGAUCAAAUUCUGACUGGAAGACCAUUACAAAUGUGUGAUCGUCUUUUUCUUUAACCAGGACUUCAACAGGCCUUACCAAGGAGAUCUCAGAGACCUUUGGAAUAAUAACAGGUCUAAAACUCGCUGAGGUCCAACCACAGAUGAUGAGUUUGAACUUUAGCCGCUGUGGUUUUUAGAUGGGCGUUUUUAGGUCUAGUUUUUUGUCAUGUCUUGGGGUGUUUGAUCAGGGACAAAGAGAGUACUGAGUAAAGGGGGCCUUCAUAGAGGGGCCUACAUAGAUACAAUAACGAAGGAAAUCAGUCGAGACAAGGGGCCCUAAGAGAACCCCUUUUGAUGGGGUCUGUUUAUUCGUACAAUGGCUCCAAUUGUUGGGGUUUUGGAGCAAGAAGUACCAAGCAAGAACCAUCACAAAUACACCAAAUUAGAACUGUUUAGCAUCUACGGACAAAGGUCAUUUAAAGUCCACCUUUCUUUACACCUGUGAUCUACCACAAAAACAGACCUGACCACGGUCACCGAGAUGUACAAACACGAGUUAAAAGAUCUAUAAGAACUGCUGUCGGCGCCUUCUCGUUGGCCUUGAAAUCUUCAUCUUACACACAGUUAAAACCAUAAUGAACCUGCUGUGAUCGUAAUUGUCAUUAAUUAAGAUUAUUCAUCUCAGUGAAUAAGCCGAUAUUAUCAAAUUAGAUCAUCAUCUUGAAUGUUUUCAACUGCAGCUGCUGGAAACGCAGUAAAAUUACAUUUAAUAUUUCUACCAGGCAGAAUCCUGCAGUCAUCAAUUAUGCAAACUAAACUCACGCUUUGCAUACUCGCACACCAAUUGUGUCGCCCCAAGACAAAUUGAACG